UUACCCCUAAUAUCCGCCAGGGGACUACAAGCGUUAGCUUAAAACCCAAAGGACCUGGCGGUGCCUCAUACCCACCUAGAGGAGCCUGUUCUUGAAUCGAUAAUCCCCGUUCAACCUCACCACCCCUUGUUCAACCCGCCUAUAUACCGCCGUCGUCAGCUCACCCUGUGAAGGUCUUAAAGUGAGCAAAAUGGGCACAACCCAAAACGUCAGGUCAAGGUGCAGCGUAUGCGGUGGGAAGAAAUGGGCUACAUUACCUACCCCAGGUCAUCACGGAAGGGGUUGUGAAACCAGCCCUGGAAGGUGGAUUUAGCAGUAAGAAGAAAAUAGAGAGUUC
rnacentral:rRNA from 1 species